AGCAAAAGCCCGUCCGGAGAGCGGAGAAAAACAUCCUCCUGUAUGAGGACACGACACACUGCAGGGGCCACAGAACUGUUGGCUGACAAGAUGCUUGUGAUUCAUAAAAUGGGUCAAAUGCAGAUGACAAAGUAAAGCCAACACUGAGCUGGAGGUGCUGACCCAGACUCCUGCCAACGAUUAGGUUUUCACUCUGCAGGACAGAACUUUGAAUCAAUCAGACCUAACGCCCAUUCUGCUCUUCCUCCUCCAGAAGACGAGAGAUACAUCAGACUGAGUGGUCCA